CAGGAUGAACGCUGGCGGCGUGCUUAACACAUGCAAGUCGAACGAAGCUCUUUGAACUGAGGAUUCGUCUGAAGUGAUGAGAUGACUUAGUGGCGGACGGGUGAGUAACGCGUGGGUAACCUGCCGUAUGCAGGGGGACAACAGUUGGAAACGACUGCUAAUACCGCAUAAGCGCACGGUAUUGCAUGAUACAGUGUGAAAAGAUUUAUCGGCAUACGAUGGACCCGCGUCUGAUUAGCUAGUUGGUGAGGUAACGGCCCACCAAGGCGACGAUCAGUAGCCGGCCUGAGAGGGUGAACGGCCACAUUGGGACUGAGACACGGCCCAAACUCCUACGGGAGGCAGCAGUGGGGAAUAUUGCACAAUGGGGGAAACCCUGAUGCAAGCGACGCCGCGUGAGUGAAGAAGUAUCUCGGUAUGUAAAGCUCUAUCAGCAGGGAAGAAAAUGACGGUACCUGACUAAGAAGCCCCGGCUAACUACGUGCCAGCCGCUGC
rnacentral:rRNA from 1 species